AUUGAACGCUGGCGGCAUGCCUUACACAUGCAAGUCGAACGGCAGCACGGAGCUUGCUCUGGUGGCGAGUGGCGAACGGGUGAGUAAUAUAUCGGAACGUACCCAAGAGUGGGGGAUAACGUAGCGAAAGUUACGCUAAUACCGCAUACGAUCUAAGGAUGAAAGUGGGGGCUCGCAAGACCUCAUGCUCCUGGAGCGGCCGAUAUCUGAUUAGCUAGUUGGUGAGGUAAAGGCUCACCAAGGCAUCGAUCAGUAGCUGGUCUGAGAGGACGACCAGCCACACUGGAACUGAGACACGGUCCAGACUCCUACGGGAGGCAGCAGUGGGGAAUUUUGGACAAUGGGGGCAACCCUGAUCCAGCAAUGCCGCGUGAGUGAAGAAGGCCUUCGGGUUGUAAAGCUCUUUUGUCAGGGAAGAAACGGUGAAGGCUAAUAUCCUUUGCUAAUGACGGUACCUGAAGAAUAAGCACCGGCUAACUACGUGCCAGCCGCCGCGGUAACAC
rnacentral:rRNA from 1 species